rnacentral:rRNA from 1 species
CCUACGGGAGGCAGCAGUGGGGAAUAUUGGGCAAUGGGCGCAAGCCUGACCCAGCAACGCCGCGUGAAGGAAGAAGGCUUUCGGGUUGUAAACUUCUUUUCUCAGGGACGAAGCAAGUGACGGUACCUGAGGAAUAAGCCACGGCUAACUACGUGCCAGCAGCCGCGGUAAUACGUAGGUGGCAAGCGUUAUCCGGAUUUACUGGGUGUAAAGGGCGUGUAGGCGGGGACGCAAGUCAGAUGUGAAAACCACGGGCUCAACCUGUGGCCUGCAUUUGAAACUGUAUUUCUUGAGUACUGGAGAGGCAGACGGAAUUCCUAGUGUAGCGGUGAAAUGCGUAGAUAUUAGGAGGAACACCAGUGGCGAAGGCGGCCUGCUGGGCUUUUACUGACGCUGAGGCUCGAAAGUGUGGGGAGCAAACAGGAUUAGAUACCCGGGUAGUC